rnacentral:rRNA from 1 species
UUAAGCGAAUAAGCGUACACGGUGGAUGCCUAGGCAAUCAGAGGCGAUGAAGGACGUGCUAAUCUGCGAAAAGCGUCGGUAAGGUGAUAUGAACCGUUAUACCCGACGAUAUCCGAAUGGGGAAACCCAGUAUCCAAUGGAUACUAUCAUUAACUGAAUCCAUAGGUUAAUGAGGCGAACCGGGAGAACUGAAACAUCUCAGUACCCCGAGGAAAAGAAAUCAACCGAGAUUCCCCUAGUAGCGGCGAGCGAACGGGGAGCAGCCCAGAGUCUUAAUCAAUAGCAGUGUCAGGAGAACGGUCUGGAAAG